UUGUAAGCAUUUCUCAGUGCUGUUUGGAUGAGCGAUAAUAUGAGGGGAGGUGACAUUUCGGUGGGACUGAAAAUCCCAUGUGGGAAAAUUCCUCUUUUUAGGGACUUGAAUUACUGGGAUUUUAAGAGCGGACCAUUAGACGGGAUUUGUGUUAAUACAUCUCCCUCAACAGGCGGAGAACGGCGACUACCAAACGUCUCGGUUUCUCGCUCUCUCUUCUUCUUACAUCGCUGAUCUCCAGCUACUAUGACCAUGGAGAAGAAAAUAGAAAUUUCCAGAGACGCAUUUAUUCAAUGCUUGAAGAGGACUACAAGAAAUCAAAUUUUCAACCACAACUUGAGACAAAGUAACGAAGUGCAUCAAUCUUGAGAUUGGUGAAACCAUCACAAUGUCGCGCUGUUAAUCUCUUAACCAGAGGACUACAAGAAAUCAAAUUUUCAACCACAAAUGGUUAGGUACUUCAAAGUCCUGAAGCCUCUGAAUGUGGACGGAGGGCUUAGCAGACACCUACCUAUAUGACUCUAAACAAACCAUAUCUUGGCAAGAGAACAAACAUGAUGGCAUGUUGCAACAACUUGAUGUCCACGGAUAAAGUAUGAACUGUUUGAUAGA